UGACACGAGAGAGGGCCUGGAAAAUGGCGGCUGGAAGGGAAGCCGUAAGCGGCCACAGUUGUGGUUCAUCCGCUGUUUUGGAGUCAACAUUAGAUCGUCGUUUUCAAGGAGUAACAAAUACAACGGAGUCAAUUCAAGGAUUAUCAACUUGGUGCAUCGAGAAUAAGAAAUAUCAUAGUGUAAUCGUUCGGUACUGGAUGAAGUGGUUGCGAAAAUCGGAUGCAUCUCACAGACUCAAUCUCUUCUACCUGGCUAAUGAUGUCAUUCAGAAUUGCAAGAGGAAAAAUGCAAUUGUCUACCGUACUACCUUCACUGAAGUUUUGCCAGAGGCUAUUAAACUUAUCAAUACUGUGAAAGACUCUAAAGUGCGCAAGUCUGUGGAUCGGAUCCUGACCAUUUGGGAGGAGAGGAAUGUUUAUUCUGAGGAGUUUAUUAACCUGCUUAGGAGUGGUCUGGUCCAGAGAGAUGAACUACCAGUUUCUGCCAACCAAAAUGAGACACUAAGAUCCAAAAUAGUUGCUGAGUUUGUGCCCUCAGCAUUCAGCGAGCAUCUAAAUAAAUACAGGAACUCCAUGGAUGAGAUUGAGUUGCGAGAGAAGCAGCUGGCUGCUAUGAGAGUGGAUGUAUGCAGCACAGAGGCUCUCAAGAAACUCAAAGAUAAGGCCGGGGGCAAACGGUUUUCCAGAGAUUUUGAGGAUGGUAGCACAAAGCUGCAAGACUUUGUGACCUUUCUGGAUGGACAGGUCAAGAAAGGACCUUCUCUGUUGGAAGCUCUGGAGAAUGCAGACAUCUUCUAUGAAAUGCAGUAUAAAGAGGUCAAGAUUGUUACCAAAGCCUAUCAGACUUUUGCCAACCGAGUAUUGCAUCUCAAGCGCAAGCUGGAUGCACUCAAGGCCUCUUUACCAGACCCCAAUGACUCGCCAGUCCCCUCCCCUUCUGAAGAUGCCCCUUCACCCACGGGUUCUGAGUCACCCUUCCAUGGUCUGCACAGAAUUGGUACUCCUGAUCCAGAGCUAGAUGGCCAGGCCAUGGAGGAGGAUCUGAUUGCCUUAUGUGAUGCUCCUAGUCCACUCUCCUCCCCUGGGGACAAAGACAACCGUGAUGUAGAGGAUAUGGAACUCUCAGAUGUAGAGGAGACUGAGGGGCCAGCCAUCAUAGUGGAGGAGCAAUUGGAGCAGGCUGAUUCUGUGGAUGUGUCCAAUCAGACCGCUGAUUUGCCUGACCCAGAACCCUCUCAGGCCAGUCAGGCUGUACCUCUCAAGCAAAUCACAACCCCAGCAGCAAAAGAGACCCCAACAACUGGGUCACUUCCUAUUAACCUCGCUAGUGUGGAUCUAGGCAAAAUCAGUUCCAUCCUUAGCACACUCACAAAUGUAAUGAAAAGCUCAGGAGUAAGCUCAGCAACCUGCUCAUCUACCAGUACCUCAAGCACACCCUCACCAUCAAAUUCCUCUCUGAAAACUGACUGCACCACCUCCAGCUCUGCAGCUGUGCCUGCAGCCAGCCCACUUUCUAGCAUCGUCUCCAGAGUGGACAUCAGCCCUAGUAGCCUGAUAAGUGCGCUGUCCAAAACCCAGGCUCAAGGAAUCGGCCUUCAGGGACUGUCUUCCUUACUAAACACUCAGACUGGAAUGGCUUCCGCUGCUUCUGGCUCAGAUAUGGGCCCACCCGCAGGCACCGUUCUCAUAGCGCAUACACAUGCCACUUCCAAGACCGCUGCACCGACAUCAGUUCAUUCACAAGCGGGAGGCUCCUCCUCUCAGAGCUCUGUCCCUCUCCGCUGUACUCAAUCACCCAACAUUGUUCAGACCAAGGGCACUCAGAAGGAAACAAAGAAAGAAGUAGGAGAGCCCAUCACCUCUAUCACCAGUAGUCUGGACUCCAAAAUUGAUAAUUUCCUUCAGGGAAAUCCAGGAAUGAGAGGGCUGAAUAUGGGUUUUCCAUCUGUUCUUUCGUGGCCUAAGACCAUUGAUAGUCCCACAGCAAGCACAGAAAACCUUGGAGGAACUCCAGUGAGGGAUGAGUCUGGUGCUACACCCACGCAAGAUGAAGUCAUGGAUAGUCCUGUAGCACAACUGCUUUUGUAUCAGGGAGGGCCUCGCCAAACUGCAUCAACAACUUCAUCUUUAGCAGACACUUCUGCACCCCCAGAAGUGAGUGGAUUAUGUAUGGCCAGUUAUGCGAAUGAUUCAUGGCAAGAGAACACCAUGCAUGGUUCACACUUUGUUCCUGGAUCACAAAAUGGAGGCAAGCUCUACCAAAGGGAUUUUGCAGUAAAGCAAGACUUCCAAAGUUCUGUCCCACUUUUUGUAGAAUCAGAGAUGGGACAUCAGCAGGAAAACUGUCUGCCACCAUCAUCAGCCAAUAAUACAUUGUCAACUGAAAACUCUGCAACCAUGGAGAGAAAUACUUCAAUAAGUGAAGGGGUGACCGCAUAUCCCAGUACUAGUAAUGCAGUAGACAAUGCUAACCUGGCAGAUGAUGGUUGGUAUGGGAAAACAUAUGGAGAUGUUCAAGACCAGAAUGUGAUGUCCAACUCUGAAUCAUAUAGAGGUGAACAGUAUGGCUCUAACGAAUCUGUACAAGAUUUCAGUCCUCCUAAUUUCUUCAGCAGCCCACUCCCUCCAAUCCCACAGCUCCCACCUCCUCCUCAAGACUUUCUACCUCAAGUGGUGGAUGGAGCCAAAGAUCGUACUAAGAUGCCGGAUUCCGUUAACAACAUACAAGAUAGCAGUGAGGGUCAAGCAUGUAUUCCAGUAAAUCCUGUUGGUUUUGAUGAUUUUGAUGAACGCAUUUCCCAUCAGACACAGGCCAAGGAGUUUUUCCAUCCCCUUCAGAAAGUCUUGGGACCUCGGCUUCGUGAUUCUGUGCCACUUCUUGUCCCGCCGAAUGGCCCUGUGGACUACAACCACCGUCCCAGAAUCCCUGUUCACCAUUCAAACUAUCCUAAUAUGUCUCACCACAGCCUGAGCCCUCCCUCUACACUAAGGGGGUACCACGAGCCUCUUAGUCCUUCAGGAUCUCCAUCUGAGGAUCCAUACUUUGACACACAUUAUGACCCCACUGCUCAGAGCCCUUCACCCCCUCUUUACGAUGUUGAUCACCCCCGCUCUACUCCCUCACAAAUGUAUUAUGCAGAAGACCGAGGUUUACCACCACACCACACAGAACAUGGACUGCCUCUUCAUCUUGAGCACAGGCCCCCUCGUCCACCUCACUAUCGUGCUCCAUGCCCUGGUCACUACCUGCCCCAGAGACCUCUCCAUCGUCCUCUUCUACCACAUAUGCCAUGUCCCAGUGAACCACCAUAUCUUAGAGGAAAGCGACAUGGCCCUCCUUUUGGAGUAGCUCCUUGCCCUGGGGGUCCAUAUUUCCCCCCUAAAAGACCUUUCUUGCCACCACGUUACUGAGCUACUGAUGAACUGUUGAAAUAUACAUGUCCACCUGCUAGAAUUCUAACAACCCUAUGAUGUGAAUCUUAUGUUGGAGUCAUUCACUAGGCCACAAUAGACAACAGCACUAAUUCACAUGGGUGGACAGAUUGUUACAUAUGACAGAAACACAUACAUGCACUGGUCUUGGACAGCUUGAUCUGUGCUCUGAAUUCAGAUGGGGAUUUGAUUUGAAGGAGUGUCAAACUAUAUGGGCUGUGAGGAGGAGUCAUCAUGUAAUGAGGGGUGAAUCAGCAAGAAGAAAUGAACAUGAGUGCAGGAGGACUGGAGAGAAUCGCUCGGAAUGCUGGUGACGAGAUGGAUCAAGCAAGCGGAGGAGCCAUGAAACUGCAAGAUAAAGAGAAAAUGAGUUGUGCAAGUGAACGAUCCUUGUUGGCAAGAAGGAUGCUGUCUGCCUGAAAGAGGAGUGGUUUAGAGGACACCAAAUGACAGUGAAUCACCUACUUGAAAUUCAAGUCGGAAGGUGAGCAACCCAUAAGCCCCUCGUAUGGACUUUUGGAUAUGAGGAAAUACGAAGAUACAGGACUUCGGGGUACGCAACGGAUGGUACCGAAAUCAUGCCCUCUAAACGGCUUAAAGAUCACAUAUUUGAAACUCCAGCGGUAUAAGAUAGAAACUAAGAGCUGUUACUUCAUAAUAAAGCGGCAUGGAUUAGCUUGGCAUCUUUGCGACCGACAACACGAUCGCUCUGGACAGUUUCAGCACCGCGGCCAGAGCCCUUCGAGAACAAAAGGAGGAUUAGCGUCCUUGAUGUCAGGCACUCUCUGUAAUGUACUUUCAGACUCGAAAACGAAUGUGCGAAGGGAAAAUAAAGCCGUCCAAAAUAUAUCGCCAGUAUAUCCGUUCCUUACCAUAUACAUUCACCUCUUUGUUAAUAAAUGUUGACUUAAGAUAUAUUUUCAUUACCAGAUGGUUCUUUAAAAUACUGUCUAUACUUCACGUAUUUGUAAUUGGGACGUGAUUAAAGCAAUUUUUAAGGCCUGAUUAGUAUUCACAUCUUUAUUUUUGUUUACCAGUAGCAAAGUAUGUCUUGAAAUGUAAAAUUUGUAAAAUAGACUUGGAGUGCAAUAGAUGCACAAACACUGUUUGGUCUGCCUGCGUGUCAUCUUUUGGGGGGGGAGGGGGAAAUGAUGACGCUCCCUUCAGUAGACAUCACGGUUUUCCACACCCCCAGGGAGGUUUGGAGAUGGACAGGGGGAGACACCGGUUUACGACGUCAAAGCAACGGCGUAUACGAACUGUGUGUCAAGACCGUGGAUAUAAUCUGCGACCUGCCUGGACGUCUCUGUUGGAAAUCGUUUACGCCACACCGACUGCUUUACCUCCGCUGAACGACUCCACAGUGCUGAAACCCGGGCGCCACUGUCGCUCCGUCCCGUAGGCUACCGU